CUGAAACCAAGCCCAUUUGCAUUCAGUUCUAGUGCUGACCUUCACUGUGUGAUCUUGAGCAAGUUAGUUAACCCCUCUGAGCCUCAGUUUCUCCGUCUAGAAAAUGGCCAGAAUAAUACCCUUCCUGUUGGCACUGAUGAAUAAAAGGUCUACCCUCAAGGUUCCACUGCUACAGUGCCUGGCCCCAGAAGCAGAGACCAUCAUCACGACUACAAAAGGGGCUCCGAGAAGGCAAAUGCGUUUGCCCAAGGUCACCGGCCGGAGGUAGUGCAACGGGACUUGGAAUCCAGCACCAGCUGCCUCCCCACACCCAUGCUGCUUUCAUGGCACCGGGAGAGGCCAAGUGCAAGAAAGGAAAUGGAAUGACUCGUUUAUUGCUUCAGGCAUUUUCAGCCAACAAAGAGAGAGACAGCCAGCGAGAGAGGGAACACAAGCAGGGGGAGUGGGAGAGGAAG